CAGGCGGUCGCUCUGCAAGACAGCCCAGGAGCUGAUGGCGACAAGGAUGCCAAGGGUGGCACUGUCUGCUGAGCAGCGUGAUCGUAAGAGACUGAAGAAGAAGUCUGAGGGCAUCCCACCUGGGAUGAAACUGAAAGGGAGCCCGCCCCAGGGCCACCUUUCUCCCGCUGGUCCCCUGUGCCGCCUGGUCAUCAGCUGGAGCGCUUUCGAUGCCGCUGUCGGGCCCAGAGGCAGAGCUCAGGGCGCUGCGUUCACCCUCCACCGCGCACAGCCAGUCCCGCACUUUGCGGGCAGCAGCGCCCGGUAGCCCAGGCUCGGCCUGCAGCUCUCGCAGGAGGCUGUAGGCGGCGCUGGUGCGGGCCCGGCAGCGCGCGCACUCAGUGCCCAGCCCCGGAGCGACUGCCGCGGAGCCCACCCCUGGGCAGAGCACGCGCCGGCCACGGUGGAUGAUGCGCGUCUCCGAGCGGUGUCGCGGCGGCCCGCGCGCACCCGCCGCCUGUUCCUCAGGGACACGCUCGGCUUCUGGACGCCAGUUGACUGUGGCACGAUUGCGGAUGUUCUGGGCACGGCUGGCGUAGUUUAGGGUGUUAAGGGUUUCAUCGAAGUCGGAGGAGGAGGGGCUGACGCAGGCGAUCAUCACUGUCUUGGCAUUCCCUCCCAGAGAGUCUUUGAGGAUCCUGCGAGCGAGAGGAUUAUACUCUUCUGAGUACUGACCUGGGAUCACCGGCGUAGGUUCAAAGCUACCUUUCCUGGGGGGUGGGGGGGAAUCCAUGAUCCCACCCAAGCCCAGAGAGAUGGGCCAUCUCACCGGGUGAUCUUGGAGUCACGGUAAGGGAUGUGGCUGCCUCGGCGCUGGGGGUCUCCCAGAGCACUAAUGACAUUUCCCAGGGCCAGCAGGGUACUGUUAAUCUGGAUGCUCUCUUUGAGCCGUUCGCCGGUGCUGCCGGUCUUCAGAACCCUCUCAGAGCCUGCCAGGUCCACGAAGUGGAAUUUAGAGACCAGCAGGUGGCCAGCGCCAGGUCGAGGCAAGCGGGUAGGAGCCCGUCCUCUCUGCUCCAGGGUCACAGUGAAGACUGUGUGCGAGCGGCUGGAGAGGCGGUUGAAGUGUGUGGCUCCUGUGUGCCGCGCAGCGUUGCCCAUCUCCAGGAGGCUCAGCACCUCGUCCAGGCCUUCCACGUCCACUUCUUUCACCCCACAGAGCACUGUGAAAACAGAAGACUGUGAGUAGCUCCCUACAGACAGCCAGAAGACAAGCAAAAACAAUCUAGGAUUCCUACCUGUCCUUCCUGGCCCAGAGCAUUGACUCAUGCCCCAGAGUCCCCAGAUCUCCCGCAAUUACCUUAAUGUUUCACUCUGGAUACACACAGAUGAAUAUACUGAACUCACUGGAGAUGGCAAACAAAACCAUCAUCCAGGGCCUGCAUUUCCCUUGAGGAAGUGUCUCUUCCAGACAGGUUAAGCCAGCCUACCCUCAGAGCAUAAAGACAGGCUUUCCUGGCCAAAAAGGCCUCACUCCCAGUCCUUGGAGGAUUCCCAAGACUUCUCACCAACAUUUCCCCGAUCAUCUUCCCGAAGCUGGAUGUCCCGGCUGGCAGUGCCCACUUCGAGCAGAUCUCGGAACUCUUCCUUGUACAGUUCCAGGUAGGAUACGUGUACCAGGCAGUCCAGCAGGUCAUUCUCAUCGAUGAGCUUGAAGGCCUCAGCCAUGGCCCUUGGGAUAAUACCUUGCUCAUCUUCAUGCAGGGAGGCUGGGGAGAUACCAUGGAGUCUCCUGCAGCCAUAACCCUCACCCCUCCACCACCACCCCUGCGCCCCUCUGGCCCAAGUAUCCAACACCAGCAGCAGCAGCAGCAGCAGCAGCAGCAGCAGCAGCUAGAGAAUGGGGCUGUAGUGUGGAGAAGACAAUGACAGAGGUCAAGGAGAGACAGCCUCUGCUAGGCGGUGCUUCAGGCUAGUGAAGCAGAAUUAGAGGUUCCAAGCAACCUCUCACGGUUUAAUCAACUGCUUUCAUGAUGCACCCUCCUUACACCUUUCCCAACAAAUUAUCAGAUACCCUAGACUUGAUUACUCCCUGGGACAGGGAAGUCACUACCAUGGCCCAUACACAGCUAUCCCGUAGGAAGUUUGCUUAAAAUAUAUUUGCAACAGAAUGCCAGGAACUUAUCAAAUAAAAAGAAGGCUGA